rnacentral:rRNA from 1 species
GUCUAAGUAUAAGCAACUAUACGGUGAAACUGCGAAUGGCUCAUUAAAUCAGUUAUCGUUUAUUUGAUAGUACCUUACUACAUGGAUAACCGUGGUAAUUCUAGAGCUAAUACAUGCUAAAAACCUCGACUUCGGAAGGGGUGUAUUUAUUAGAUAAAAAACCAAUGCCCUUCGGGGCUCCUUGGUGAAUCAUAAUAACUUAACGAAUCGCAUGGCCUUGCGCCGGCGAUGGUUCAUUCAAAUUUCUGCCCUAUCAACUUUCGAUGGUAGGAUAGUGGCCUACCAUGGUAUCAACGGGUAACGGGGAAUUAGGGUUCGACUCCGGAGAGGGAGCCUGAGAAACGGCUACCACAUCCAAGGAAGGCAGCAGGCGCGCAAAUUACCCAAUCCCGACACGGGGAGGUAGUGACAAUAAAUACUGAUACAGGGCUCUUUUGGGUCUUGUAAUUGGAAUGAGUACAAUUUAAAUCCCUUAAUUAGGAACAAUUGGAGGGCAAGUCUGGUGCCAGCAGCCGCGGUAAUUCCAGCUCCAAUAGCGUAUAUUAAAGUUGUUGCAGUUAAAAAGCUCGUAGUUGAACCUUGGGCCUGGCUGGCCGGUCCGCCUCACCGCGUGUACUGGUCCGGCCGGGCCUUUCCUUCUGGGGAACCUCAUGCCCUUCACUGGGCGUGUUGGGGAACCAGGACUUUUACUUUGAAAAAAUUAGAGUGUUCAAAGCAGGCCUUUGCUCGAAUACAUUAGCAUGGAAUAAUAGAAUAGGACGUGUGGUUCUAUUUUGUUGGUUUCUAGGACCGCCGUAAUGAUUAAUAGGGAUAGUCGGGGGCAUCAGUAUUCAAUCGUCAGAGGUGAAAUUCUUGGAUUGAUUGAAGACUAACUACUGCGAAAGCAUUUGCCAAGGAUGUUUUCAUUAAUCAGUGAACGAAAGUUAGGGGAUCGAAGACGAUCAGAUACCGUCGUAGUCUUAACCAUAAACUAUGCCGACUAGGGAUCGGACGGUGUUAGUAUUUUGACCCGUUCGGCACCUUACGAGAAAUCAAAGUUUUUGGGUUCUGGGGGGAGUAUGUCGCAAG